UACGUAGGCAGCAAGCGUUGCUCGGAAUUACUGGGCGUAAAGAGUGUGUAGGCGGUGCUCCAAGUCUGUUGUGAAAUCUCCCGGCUUAACUGGGAGGGUGCGGCGGAAACUGGGGUGCUAGAGGAUGGGAGAGGUAAGCGGAAUUCCUGGUGUAGCGGUGAAAUGCGUAGAUAUCAGGAGGAACACCUGUGGUGUAGACAGCUUACUGGACCAUUUCUGACGCUGAGACACGAAAGCGUGGGUAGCAAACAGG
rnacentral:rRNA from 1 species